rnacentral:rRNA from 1 species
UAAGGAAUAUUGGUCAAUGGACGAAAGUCUGAACCAGCCAUGCCGCGUGAAGGAUGAAGGUCCUCUGGAUUGUAAACUUCUUUUAUCUGGGACGAAAAAAGGCUAUUCUUAGCCACUUGACGGUACCAGAGGAAUAAGCACCGGCUAACUCCGUGCCAGCAGCCGCGGUAAUACGGAGGGUGCAAGCGUUAUCCGGAUUCACUGGGUUUAAAGGGUGCGUAGGUGGAUUGGUAAGUCCGUGGUGAAAUCUCCAAGCUUAACUUGGAAACUGCCGUGGAUACUAUCAGUCUUGAAUCCCCUGGAGGUAAGCGGAAUAUGUCAUGUAGCGGUGAAAUGCUUAGAUAUGACAUAGAACACCGAUUGCGAAGGCAGCUUACUGGACCUGUAUUGACGCUGAGGCACGAAAGCGUGGGGAGCGAACAG